CCUAGUAGGUCUGGGACAUGCCAGCAGUUCACUAGGCCUGGAUAGAAAGUUUGAGCAUGGGGAGAGGCCAGAGAAGGGGCUGGAGAAGGGAUGGGCCCAGGUCACAGGGAGCAAAGUCCACUGGCCCAAGAAGCCAGGGCUUCAUAGGGUCAGCAGUAGGGAGCCUGCCAGGGCUUUAAAGAGAGGAAAGACAUGAGCAGCUUAGCAUUUUAGAAAGUUCAUUCGACUGAAAAUGUGCAGAAAGCACAAACUAAAGCACAGACACAAAACAAGUUCAGAGGAUGUGGCUGUCACCCAGGACACACACCACCUCAUCCAGCCACAGUGGCCACAGUCCUCAGACUGGACAGCCCCUGUGUACCUGGGAUGCGGAGAGUGACCCAAGCCUCAAUCCUGGCCAGUGAGACUGCCCAUCGAGGUGGAAAUCAUCGUCUUAAUUACCAAGGCUCCCUGGCCACCGGAGGAGACACGCAACACACAGCCUGCCUAAUGCGCCAGCAGCCGAGUUGGGGAGGUCCCUGGGAAAAAGGCCUAUGCUCCCCCAGCCAUUCUCAGGGCCUAGAAUGUUCUUUAGCACGAGAGAAGUGAAGGCUCAGGGGUCCAGUGGGGAGGGCCGGGUACCAGCCCAGAAGUAGGUCUAGCCAGGGAGGUGGAGUCCCCAAGAAACACCCUCAGGAGCCUGCUGAGUCACAAUCAUCCCUCACAGCACGAAUGUCUCGCCUGCUCCCUGCACGCAGCUCACCUGGGACUCUCCUUCUGCCGGCAGGGUGAGGGGCCUUUGAAAGGCCUAAACCAGAAAGGCUGGAGGGGCUGAAGGCAGGAGCCAGCUGGCCCCAAUCCUGUUCUCUCUGGAGCCCCUCAGUCCUUAGCCCAGCCCCCAGGUGUGUCUUGUCUCCUUCUUAGAGGCUCCAACGGCCAGAGCUCCCCACUCCCAACCUACCAUCUUGUCCCAGAGAUGGAAGACAACAUGGGAGCGGCCCCUCACAGCCAGAGUACCUUCAAGACCAUGUGGCACCACCAGACUGAAACCCAGGUCCGGUGGGCUCUGCCAUCCCCAUGCCAAGCAGAGGGAAGGAGGGGGUGGGAGGACAGAAGAAGGAGUGGGCGGGGUGAGUCUGUGGUGGUUUGGA
rnacentral:lncRNA from 1 species